rnacentral:rRNA from 1 species
GACGAACGCUGGCGGCGUGCUUAACACAUGCAAGUCGAACGGGAUAAUUUGAGAGCUUGCUCUUCGAGAAUCUAGUGGCAAACGGGUGAGUAACACGUAGACAACCUGCCGACAGGAUGGGGACAACAUUCCGAAAGGAAUGCUAAUACCGAAUGAAGCGGAGGAGAGGCAUCUCUCCUCCGUGAAAGAUGGCCUCUGAAUAUGCUAUCACCUGUCGAUGGGUCUGCGUCUGAUUAGCUAGUUGGUGAGGUAACGGCUCACCAAGGCGACGAUCAGUAGCCGGUCUGAGAGGAUGAACGGCCACAUUGGGACUGAGACACGGCCCAGACUCCUACGGGAGGCAGCAGGGGGGAAUCUUCCGCAAUGGGCGCAAGCCUGACGGAGCAACGCCGCGUGAGUGAAGAAGGUCUUCGGAUCGUAAAGCUCUGUUGACGGGGACGAACGUGCGAAGGGUGAAUAAUCCUUUGUAAUGACGGUACCUGUCGAGGAAGCCACGGCUAACUACGUG